UGGGGAAUUUUGGACAAUGGGCGAAAGCCUGAUCCAGCAAUGCCGCGUGUGUGAAGAAGGCCUUCGGGUUGUAAAGCACUUUUGUCCGGAAAGAAAUCCUUGGCUCUAAUACAGUCGGGAGAUGACGGUACCGGAAGAAUAAGCACCGGCUAACUACGUGCCAGCAGCCGCGGUAAUACGUAGGGUGCAAGCGUUAAUCGGAAUUACUGGGCGUAAAGCGUGCGCAGGCGGUUUGCUAAGACCGAUGUGAAAUCCCCGGGCUCAACCUGGGAACUGCAUUGGUGACUGGCAGGCUAGAGUAUGGCAGAGGGGGGUAGAAUUCCACGUGUAGCAGUGAAAUGCGUAGAGAUGUGGAGGAAUACCGAUGGCGAAGGCAGCCCCCUGGGCCAAUACUGACGCUCAUGCACGAAAGCGUGGGGGAGCAAACAGGAUUAGAUACCCUGGUAGUCCACGCCCUAAAACGAUGUCAACUAGUUGUUGGGGAUUCAUUUCCUUAGUAACGUAGCUAACGCGUGAAGUUGACCGCCUGGGGAGUACGGUCGCAAGAUUAAAACUCAAAGGAAUUGACGGGGUCAUA
rnacentral:rRNA from 1 species